rnacentral:rRNA from 1 species
UAGGGAAUCUUCCACAAUGGACGCAAGUCUGAUGGAGCAACGCCGCGUGAGUGAAGAAGGUCUUCGGAUCGUAAAACUCUGUUGUUAGAGAAGAACACGAGUGAGAGUAACUGUUCAUUCGAUGACGGUAUCUAACCAGCAAGUCACGGCUAACUACGUGCCAGCAGCCGCGGUAAUACGUAGGUGGCAAGCGUUGUCCGGAUUUAUUGGGCGUAAAGGGAACGCAGGCGGUCUUUUAAGUCUGAUGUGAAAGCCUUCGGCUUAACCGGAGUAGUGCAUUGGAAACUGGAAGACUUGAGUGCAGAAGAGGAGAGUGGAACUCCAUGUGUAGCGGUGAAAUGCGUAGAUAUAUGGAAGAACACCAGUGGCGAAAGCGGCUCUCUGGUCUGUAACUGACGCUGAGGUUCGAAAGCGUGGGUAGCAAACAGGAUUAGAUACCCUGGUAGUCCACGCCGUAAACGAUGUCGACUUGGAGGUUGUGCCCUUGAGGCGUGGCUUCCGGAGCUAACGCGUUAAGUCGACCGCCUGGGGAGUACGGCCGCAAGGUUA